GUAAAUGACGGCACUAUUUAUAAGCUCCGGCUAACUACGUGCCCCAAGCAGCCGCGGUAAUACGUAGGGAGCAAGCGUUGUUCGGAUUUACUGGGCGUAAAGGGCGCGUAGGCGGCGCGGUAAGUCACUUGUGAAAUCUCUGAGCUUAACUCAGAACGGCCAAGUGAUACUGCAGUGCUAGAGUGCAGAAAGGGCAAUCGGAAUUCUUGGUGUAGCGGGUGAAAUGCGUAGAUAUCAAGAGGAACACCUGAGGCGAAGGCCGGGUUGCUAGGCUGACACUGACGCUGAGGCGCGAAAGCCAGGGGAGCAAACGGGAUUAGAUACCCCGGUAGUCCUGGCCCUAAACGAUGAAUACUUGGUGUCUGGAGUUUCAAUACUCCGGGUGCCGUCGCUAACGUUUUAAGUAUUCCGCCUGGGGAGUACGCUCGCAAGAGUGAAACUCGAAGGAAUUGACGGGGACCCGCAC
rnacentral:rRNA from 1 species